CUGGAAGUCAGGAUGAACUCCCCCCAAACAGGGUGCAGGUGGGGGCUGGUAAGAGCUGGUCCAAAAAGAAGUUGGGAAACUACUCCGUUGGCUAGAGAGAGCUGAGCUGUCUGAGAAGACACAAAAAGAACAUAUUAUUCACCUUCCCUGAAGGUGGUGCCACCAGCAGUGAAGUUCUUCCUUCCUCUCCCCUUCAGCCUGACACCAGAGCUCUCAUCAGUCAGCCCACCCAUCCUAUGGACAAACAGCUGUUCACAGUUUCAAAGUCUCUCCCUCACAUUGUCUCCAUGGGUCUCAGAACCCCUCGAGGAAGCCAAGGAUUUGAUGUCCUUCAACAGGCAAAGAAUGGAAGUACAUACUCUCCAAGUCUUCAAACAUUUCCAGCAAACUUUUCAGUAAAUGACUGUUUUGUCACAAUCACAAUUUAUCAAAAAAAAAAUAAUGCUUGGAAUUAAACUCACUGGCACUGAGGUAAA